CGUGUAGGCGGCCCCGCAUGUCCUCUGUGAAAGCCCUCGGCUCAACCGAGGAACUGCAGGGGAAACUGCGGGGCUCGAGUCCGGGAGAGGAGAGCGGAAUUCCCAGUGUAGCGGUGAAAUGCGUAGAUAUUGGGAGGAACACCAGUGGCGAAGGCGGCUCUCUGGACCGGUACUGACGCUAAAGCGCGAAAGCUAGGGGAGCAAACG
rnacentral:rRNA from 1 species